AUCCCGGUGGGAUGGGACGUCCCCCCGAAAGGAGCCGGCAGCUCACGGAGCACCCCCGGGCUGGAAAAUAUCCCCCCUCCCACAAAAUCCAAGACUUCCAGGCCCCCACGGAAACGCCAGAGCCACCCCGGUGCCACCCCCUGCCUCCGAAUUUCAGGGUGGGAUCCCCUGGUUUGGCCCCAAAAUGUUGGUUGGUGUGCGAAGGCACCGGCAGCUCCGCGGGAUCGCCCUCUUCCUCCCGGAGGCGCGUGGAAUUCUUCUCCGUCUCCCCCCAGCCAGGAAUUUGGGGAGGGAACGGGAAUGUCGGUGGCUCGUGGAUCCCGUGAGAGGUCGUGAACCGGGAGCGGAAGAACUCGGGGUCUUUCCAGGCCCGGUUUCAGCCGGAAGAAGCACCACGGCGGGAAUUCCAUAUGACCCUCCGCCACAUUCCCAAAGCGGCGGCCAAGGAAUUCCCGACGGCGACGCGGCCGAUCCGCCCUCCGGAGGUGGGAGCGGGAGAUCCCCCGGAAGUCACGGGCACGGCGGAUGCCAGGGAAGGAUAGGGAUGAGCUGGUGGAUCAAGGUAUGGAUGAAUCCCAAAGCCGUGGAGGCACCAUUGAUGCCAACGGAAGACGGGAUACGGAGGAGCACUGGCUGGUGUUUGCUGAGGAUUCCCAAACCGCUGCCCGGAGAGAGAAGACAAUUCCAUGGGAAUGGAGACCACAGAUGGAUAUCUGAGGGCUCUGGGAUGUCCGAGGGCCUCGGGAUGUCUGCGGUGACAUGUUGUGAGUGCCGGGACCGCUGAUGGUCUCCGGCCCCACCUCUGGAAAAACCUCCUCUCGGAAUCUUUCCUCUGGGGCUCCCUGGUGAUCCGCCCCCUCCCAUCAUCCAGAGCCUUGGAGAUCCCCGGAAAGGAGCUUGGCUCGGCGCGGGAUGCUCCCGGUGCCUCCACGGGAGGUGUCCCAGCCCUACCAGACCCUCGUCACCAUCUCCCUCCGAGACGACUGAUUUCCUCUUGGAUGUUCCAACGCCACUCCCGGCGUUGGAAUCCGCCGAUUCCCGCAGAGUCCCGCGCCGGGACUCGCGGCACCUCCCACUCGGCAAAGGCGAUGAUCCCGAGGUGGAGAGAGUCUUUCCAGAGGUUUUGGCCUGUAGCCACGAGAGCCACCAACGUGCUCCAACCCUGCUUGGUGUCCACCGGGAAGAUAAAAGUGGGAUGGAGACAAUUCCACGCGAGGGAGGACAACCCAUCCCUCCUGGGCCUUCCGGCCUUCGGGCAUUUGCUUGGUUUGGAUCUUCCGCGUUUUUCCUCCUGGAUGGUUUUCCCCAGGUGCUGGUUUCGGUGGUCCCGGUGCCAGGCCGGCGUCUGGAUUUGAUGGAUGAGGCCUCUCGGAAAGGGAUAAGGCACGGAUGUGGUGGGAUGAGGGCAGGGGUGCCGAGGAAGGCCGAUGACGCCUCUUUUGAAGGGACACGGUGGCCGGUUCCUGGGAGCUGGGAGGAGGACGAUGUCACACCUGGAAGGCAUGAAGGAGGAUCUGGGAAGCUCCAGUCGGGCUCCCCUCAAUCCUUGGAGCACAUCACCAAGGGGGUGAAGGACAAGAAAUCACGGGAGCAGCAGGAACGGAUGCACCCUCGACUGGGAACGUAGAGCCAGCUGGGAAAGCUCCGGGUGCUGCCGCCAUCCAGAGGAACCUUCCUGGCCUGGAGAAACAGGCUGGCUGGAACCUCGGAAGGAUUGACAAGGAGGACAGUCCUGCCCUUGGGGAGGAACAACCCCGGGCACCAGGAUGUGCCAUGAGGACAUGCCAGAGAUCUGCAUCCUGGAGUGCGAGGGC